AAGUCCUGACCUAAAGACAUUGCUGUCAGGUGUGGGUAAAAUCACUUGGGAAGAAUAUGAUGUGGCUGUCCAUGGUUCUGAUUUCUGUGUGCGUGUGUGUGCGCAUGUUCGUGCAAGUGCAAACAUGCUGACUGACCCUCCUUGCAGAGAAACUCCAAAUCAUCCUCCUCUCAUGUUGACGAAACGAUCACUCUGUCAUACAGUACAAGCUUUCAUUUUUUGUUGUCCUAGGCUACCUGGCAAAAAUGCUUGCUUGCUGGCUUAACUUGCUGGCUUAACUACAUAUUGAACUUCCAUCCUCUCAGGGGCAAAACAAUGUAUGUAUUAAUGGUUGGAUCAGAAUCACCAUAGAGAUCCUAUUCAAUUACUAGUGGGGCUGUGUCAUAAACCCUCAACGUUCCAGAAUGUAUUGUAAAAAAAACAAAAUAAGAAACAUUCCCCUUGUGUAUUGUUUAUAUCGUAGAUGGUUUAGACUGUUUGUACUCAGAGUAUAUAACUUUAUAGGGGAUCACUUUGGGAUAGAUUCUCUAGAUGUGCUUUUACUGCGACACCAUUUAUUGUGAUCCAAAUCUACAACAAAAUCGUCAUGAUAAUCUUUGAUGUAAAUCUAGAGCAGACCAGACAGAACUGGUGGUGCAUUAGGAGGAGAAGUGUUGAUUUACAGAGGCCACUACGACCUGAGAAGAGUUUCAACUAGAUUACACAGCCACAAAGUCAACGGACUAUAUCCUUAUAAUCUAUGAAAACAAAAAUGUGUUUUUUUUUAAUUUAAGGUUAGAGUUAGGUUUAUAAGCAGAUUUUAAUUAGAUCACUUGUAGAUAUAGGUGGGGUUUAUGACUUUGUGGCUUUGAUAACCAGUGAAGACCCCUGAGAAGAGGAAGACAAGUGAAGACAGCAGCUCAUUGGUGACUAAUAAUUACUUCUGCUUGACAUUUACAUUCUUUGAGUACUUGAAGUUGAUUUAUGAUAACAAUAGAUGUUUGUUUUUCCCACACAUUAGAUCAAUGUGGAUCAGAGUGUCCCAGUAAGUACAUAAAGGAUGAAAAAUAACUCAUUAGUAGAUUGGGAGAUUCAGAAACAAACAUUACAGACUAUAUUAAAAUGCAAUGAAACAGAUAUUUUUCAUUUGAUCACUGUUGUUGUUGAACAUUUACACAUGUUCCUAUUCAAUCUGAUCUGGAGAAGAUGUUCAAGGUACUUUACUUUACAAUCGUUGUAUUCUCCAUCUCAAGUAUAUACAAUAUAUCUCAAUAUGGCCUGUUUUGACAAAUGACACUAUACUGUAUCUCUCUGUACAUUCAAGGGGACCACAGAAGCACUGUGCUGACCUGAGUGUCAGUUUCACAUAAGUGGAUUACAGUUGAAAGGGGCAACACAAAACCAAUAAUAUACUGUAUAUACACUUCCCAAUAAUUAUAACUGUAUAGCCAUUCAUAUCAGGUUCAUUCUGAUUUACCCAAGCCAUAAAUACAAACAAAAGCCUUGUAAAAGCCAUAACACAAG
rnacentral:lncRNA from 1 species